AAAGCAGGGGAAGUUGGCCAUGGAGAGAGCUCAAAUAGCACUAUACAUCAUACCUAAGAUCUUCAUCAUCAAGGAGUUGAAGGAGUAGAUCUGAGUUCAGGCUUGAGACUUUCUCUGUCACGGUGCAGACAGGGCUUUUUCAGAAAACAUUUUUCAAAUAUAUGCAUGUUCUACAAGAGGAAUCUUUUGGAGGAGGCCUCUUUAAAACAGUUUGAUGGCAUCAGAUCUCUGAAUGUUUGCUGAUUUCCAUGGUAUAAUUACUCCUACCAUGGCCAAUUUUAAGCCACUGAUGAACAUAGAGUUAAGAAGACAUACACAGGAGCACAUGGAUUAUAAAGAGCCUUUUCUGAUCUCCACUGCAUAGCUGCAUCCUAGCUGGAUUUGGGCCUUGUACAGAGUGAGACCACAUCCAUCACAUUCACACUCUGAAAGCUGGCACCUAGCACAGAACCUGCUACAUCAGACUUGUCUGAACCCAAGAUAUUUUGGCAAGAAUGACAGAUCACUGGGACUUUCAUAACAAGCUGCUUUCUGAAUUUA